rnacentral:lncRNA from 1 species
CCCUGCAGUACUGUCCACUUGGACUGCGCAUCCUGAGGAGAAAUGAGUGUUGCCUGGGGGUGGAGUCCACGUCUCCCUAUUCUGUCAAAUGGUAAGGUACCGUGCACAAGGGAGCUUUGGAAUGAGCCUUUGUUUUGGUUGGCUCUCCUCCUCUUGCUCUCCUGUCAUCCUUUGAUCAUGUCAAGUUCUUGCUCUAUUCCUCACUUCAUGUCUAACCUCUUGAGUUUGAUGGGAGAGAAGAUGCAUUCAGGACCGCACCAGGAGAGAGACAAAAGUAUCCAAUUCACAUCACUCGUUUCUCCCCAGAAGGCCAUUCCUGUCCUCACCUUGAAGCUCCCACCUUUCAAGAUCUCCAUUCAGGUGACAGAAGAUCAGGAGAUGCCGCAGUCUAUGAUGUCAGACAGGCAGGCAAACAGCCUUGGGGGACAGUCCCUGCUCCUUCCCUUCCAAAGACCGGAACGCAAGGAAUUAUGUCACUUUGCAAAGGUAGGUGGGCGCGCAAGCAGGAAGGUAGGG